GACAGAGGGGGCAAGCGUUGCUCGGAAUUACUGGGCGUAAAGGGCGCGUAGGCGGGAUGGUAAGUCGGUCGUGAAAUCCUUCGGCUCAACCGAAGAACGUCGGCCGAUACUGCCGUUCUUGAGGGAUGCAGAGGAGACUGGAAUUCCCGGUGUAGCGGUGAAAUGUGUAGAGAUCGGGAGGAACACCGGUGGCGAAGGCGGGUCUCUGGGCAUCUCCUGACGCUGAGGCGCGAAAGCGUGGGGAGCAAACGGGAUUAGAUA
rnacentral:rRNA from 1 species